rnacentral:lncRNA from 1 species
GCAUAAUUCCGACUCAAAACUCCUUAUUAAAAAAAAAAAAAAAAGAAAAGAAGAAGAGAGAGUAAAAAAAUCUAUUUUUGAUGCCAACGGGUUCAAUGUCAAAUUCCCAUACGAGAACCCUUCGAGUUGCAGGCGGGCGGGUGUCUGUCAGUGCGUUCGUAUGUUCUUGUAUAGAGCAUAAGAAAUGAUUCGCACAACUUCAGCAGCUUCUGCGAUUCCAAGAACUGCUCAAAGAGGUAAGCUCUCAUCGUUAUUCAUAAACCCAUCAAAACCCAAACACACGACGGAAUUCCCAACCGAAAUCAACACCAAUGAUGCUGUUGCCUCCUUUUAUCAGAUGCUCCAAAUGCAUCCCGCGCCACCUAUCUCUUCAAUUAACAAAUUGAUUGGUGCUGUUGCCAAAACCAAGAAUUAUAAAGAUGUGAUUUUUAUGUACCGUAGGGUGGUUGAAGUUGAUUUAUUGCCUGAUUAUAUUACACUGAACAUUUUGCUCAAUUGUUAUUGUAGCAUGAAAAAUGUUGUUCUUGGUUUUUCUGUUAUGGGUGGGAUUUUUAAGAGGGGGUAUAGUCCAAAUGUUGUUUCUUUUAAUUCCUUGAUUAAAGGGCUGUUUAUGGAAGAUAAGGUAGAUGAUGCAGUUAUGUUGUUCAAUAAAAUUAUUGGAAUGGGUUUUCAACCAAGUAUCUGGACUUGGGGGACUUUGAUUAAGGGGCUAUGUAGGAGUGGAAAAGCAGAGGUGGCUCUUCGUUUGCAUGAAGAGGCAGGGAAAUGGAAUGGAAGGUCUGAUUUAAAAUUUAAGCCUAGUUUAAUUUGUUAUUCCACACUUAUUCAUGGCCUUUGUCAAGAGGGAUUGUUGGACAAGGGUAAACAGUUAUUUUUGGAGAUGCAGGAUAGAGGAAUUAGGCCAGACUUGGUUGCAUAUAGUGGUUUAAUUCAUGGUUUGUGUGAGGGCGGUGAAUGGGAGGAGGCAAAGCUGUUCUUCAUUGAAAUGGUGGAUCAAGGCAUUCGUCCUAAUGUGAUAUUGUUUAAUAUCUUGAUGCACACGCUUUGUAAGGAGGGGAAGACCAAUGAAGCUAGUGGAUUGUUUAACUUGAUGAUUCAGAGAGGUGAAGAGCCCAAUUCUUGUACAUAUAACGUAUUGAUGAAUGGGUUCUGCCUACAGAAUAGGAUUGUUGAUGCGAGGGAGUUGUUUGUUUUGAUGGCAGAUAGAGGCCACAAGCGAGAUGUUGUAAGCUAUAAUGUGUUGAUUAAUGGUUAUUGCAAGAGUCAGAAAUUAGAAGAGGCAUUUAGGCUUUUUAAAGAAAUGGUUUUAGGAGAAUACAAGCCAAAUGUAAUUACAUUCAACACUUUGUUGACCGGUCUGUUUCACCUUGGUAAUGUUGAGGAUGCACAGGCACUUUUUCAACAGAUGAAAGUCCACAGAGUGACCCCAGAUUCUUCUACUUAUAGUAUUUUAAUUGAUGGAUUUUGCAAAAACAACUGCCUUGAAAAUGCAAUGGAGCUGUUUCACACUAUAGAAAGAUCUGGCUUUGAUUUUGACAUAGAAAUCUAUAAUUGCAUCCUUGAUGGAUUGUGUGGAUCAGGAAAGCUUGACGUUGCGAGUGUGCUCUUUCAGAAGUUAUCCCAGAAGGGCUUGGUACCAACAGUUUUUACGUAUACCAUCAUGAUUCAUGGACUUUGUAAAGAUGGAAAAAUGGAGGAGGCAAAUAAUUUGUUUUUGAAGAUGGAAAAGAAAGGUUGUGCACCCAAUGUGGUAACUUUUAACACACUUAUGCGAGGAUUUCACAGUUAUAAUGAUGCCCCAAAAGUGGUUGAACUUCUUCAGAAAAUGGCUGAGAGAAAAAUUUUGCCUGAUGAAUCCACAUUGUCUUUAGUUAUAGAUUUAUUGUCAAAAGACACAAAUUGUUCGAAAUAUAUGAGUCUGAUACCAAAAUUUCCCAACCAAGGCUGACUCAAAAAUAAGAUGCUACACCUAUCACCAUGAGCAUUUUAUCCACCACUGUAGUGAAAGGUGUAUAAACUUCUAGUUGCAAACCAGAAUCGGGAAACAGAAUUGAAAUCUCCCGAAGUAGGAUUCGAAACUACUAAAUAUAAUGGACCCACACAUUUGGCGUUUAAUGAAUAUCAAAGUUCGCCCGUUGCACAGUACUGGGAAGGCAAGUUCGAUGGCUUUCCAUUGUUGACGCUGCUUUAGAUUUAUCAGCCUGUAAGUCUCUCUAUAUGUUGCUUUCUUAACUUCUGAGCUACAGUGCCUCUAAAAGAUUUCUGAAAUGAGCUGAUAGUUGCACUAGGUAUCUGUUUUGUGUAACCUUUUUGAGACUUGUUGGUAAUAUUUUAUGAUAUUUAAUAUGAUUAGCAGCAGGUUCCCUGUAUGUUAAUAACCGGAGUUGCAUGUUAUGCAUUAUGAACAGCUGCUAUUACUUAAAGUAAUAAUUUUUAAGCAAAGCCUCAUUCGUUUGUGUUUUGGCAUGCAUUUCUAUAAUCUGAUUAGUGUAUGCAGAUGCAUGGUGAUGUAAUUGGUCGUUAAGAAAACAGAAACCUGUUUCCCGGUAUGCCACAUAUUGUCCUAUGACACAGAAGACUUCGAAAGAGAUUUGAGUGGAACUCAACUGGUCAUUACCACCUAACGGAGCCUGGCAUUCUACUAUAUAGAUUUGAUAAAAAUAUCAUGCUACUUAGUUUCGCACAUGCCUUUAUACUGAACUGGAGUACUCCAUUGGAGGUAAAUGACCAUUAUGCAGUUAUUACCAAAGUUUUGCAGAUAUGGUACCUAAUAUUUCAUUUAUUAUGCUUCUACUGGCCUUAUCUUAAAUUUUAGCUGUCUGCAUACUGUAUAAACUGCUUUAUGCUACUUUAGGGUUUGAAACCUGGACCUAUCAGUUUGGUUGUAUUGAUUUCAAUUUAUGUUGAGGUUCAAAUGUCUUGGAAAAAUUGAAUUCAACACAAUUUAAAUACUAACGGAAUAUCAUAACCCCAGGUGGUCCACAACACUCACCCCAUCCCAACAAAUAAUAAAAGAUUAAAAUUCAGAUGUUCACCUUGGAUCAUAUUUUCCCAUUACUGUUACUACCACCAAGGAUAUCUUAAUAAGCUAUAAGACCAUUCAAUUAGGUAUUCCCAGUGCAAUAAACUAGGCACCC